rnacentral:rRNA from 1 species
AUUGAACGCUGGCGGCAGGCCUAACACAUGCAAGUCGAACGGUAACAGAAAGCAGCUUGCUGCUUUGCUGACGAGUGGCGGACGGGUGAGUAAUGUCUGGGAAACUGCCUGAUGGAGGGGGAUAACUACUGGAAACGGUAGCUAAUACCGCAUAACGUCGCAAGACCAAAGAGGGGGACCUUCGGGCCUCUUGCCAUCGGAUGUGCCCAGAUGGGAUUAGCUAGUAGGUGGGGUAACGGCUCACCUAGGCGACGAUCCCUAGCUGGUCUGAGAGGAUGACCAGCCACACUGGAACUGGGACACGGUCCAGACUCCUACGGGAGGCAGCAGUGGGGAAUAUUGCACAAUGGGCGCAAGCCUGAUGCAGCCGUGCCGCGUGUAUGAAGAAGGCCUUCGGGUUGUAAAGUACUUUCAGCGGGGAGGAAGGGAGUAAAGUUAAUACCUUUGCUCAUUGACGUUACCCGCAGAAGAAGCACCGGCUAACUCCGUG